rnacentral:lncRNA from 1 species
CAUCUCUCCUGCUGGCUCUUUUAUAUUUGAGCAAGAUCAGUGUAUUUAGAAUAUGUGUUUAGAAAUGUGUCUAUCGUCUCAAUUUAGUAAGAUGGAGGUGCUGCAUGUGCCUGAAUUAAAACCAACCCAGACAUUUUUUCCAACCUAAAUUCCGCCUUAGUGAUGAGAGAGAUUUAAUUCUCCAUUGUCACCUUUUAGUUAUAUGCUUGGAAAAUCACAAGUAGAUGACUAUUAAUGUUUGUACCUUGUUAACAUCCUCAGUUAAUUUUGAAUUUUUGAAAGUUCUGAAGGAAAAGGCCUAUGGAACCUAAUGUGAAGUAUUUAGUAGGCUAACUGGUAUUGAGUUGUAGAUUUUUACUGUUUAUAAACAAAUAUCAUUUGAUGUAAUGUCAUUUACCUGCUGUCUUAGGAUGUUCACACAUACACAAAUAUGGAGAAGAAUCCUACAAUAUAGAACUAUUUAUUUUAAUAGAGUUUCA